UAAUCCCUCCCUCGUAUAUAACUGUCCGAACCCCUACCCCUCUCUCACUCGUCUCUCUCAUCUCCCAUUCUCAGAGACCAAAAUCCCUAACCCUAAUCCGCCGCCCUUUUUUCCAUCGCAUCCGCCCAGCGGCACCACCUCCAAUCACCCUCAUCUUAACACCCUGGAACCCCCUCACCUCCCUCUUCCCAAAUCUCUGACUACUUUCCCUCGAAUCCCACCACAAACGCUCGAAUGUCAAAUCUAAAUCCAAGAUCUAAAAAAUCCUAAAACCCACAAAUCUACCCGAGUUCACCCCAAAUGACCCUUCACCUAUUUCCCGCCCCAAAACACGUUCUUGCUUCCCGUCAAUUUAGCUCGUCAGUGGUGGAGCAGAAGUCUGAAAUGCCCUAGGUCUUGCCUUGUGUUUUUUUCCUGGUCCAGCAGGGUUGAGUGACCCCAAACCGUCAUUAACCGUUUGUCUUUUGUUAAGGACAAUCGAUUAACAUCUGUCAAAGGUUCACUUUCUUCUUCAAAAGUUUUAUUCGAGUGCAUGCGGGUUCUUGCUGAGGCAGGUUUUAGAUAAUUUCUUUAUGUCGAUUACUUUCCGUUUGAUCUUCUCUUUUGUUUGUUUGUUUGUUUUCCCGUUUAUCUCUUCAGAAGUUUCGUUUCUUGUUUAAUUGCAUUACGUCUCUGGUUUUUAGGUUCAUUAGUUAACUUGUCUGCUAAACUAUUAAUGACAAUCAGCUUCAUAGGGUUUGAGCAUAAUUUGUUUUCAAUUCAUGGGAUUUUCUUCUGUCUGCUAGGUUUCAUUUUUAUGUUCGAGAAUUAAUUCUGGAACUGAAGCAUUGAGAUUAGCCAAGUAUAGGUCAUCAUUUGCAUUAAUUCCUGUUUCAAGAGCAUUUUUUAGUCCAUGUUUAUAUGUGAAGGAUCUUAGAUUUAAUUCAGACUAAUCUUUCAUGGUUUAAUAUGAUUCAACAAUUGUUUUGAAUUUCACUGAUUUUCAAUCCAGCUGAAAGUGUCAGCUCGUUUGCUUAUUGUUUAUUGUGAUUGUGAGCAUUCAGAACUUAGGAGGGGGUAAGUGUAUAACUAGGAAAACUUUAGGGGUAGUUUUGGGGAUUGGGUUAACUUGAAGAAUCUUUUAAUAACUGAUUGUGAAGCUUCCUAAAUGGACAACUGCCCAAAAUUACUAGGGAAAACAGGCUGCAAAUUAAAAAUAUCUGAAGGAAAUGGACAGCUGUCCAAAAAUCAAUUUUAAAAGAUGCCCGGUGAGGGUAUUUUGGAAAAAUCUGAUUGCCUUGCCUUGGAAGGCACACAACAGACCCCUAUCCUUAUAAAUGGAGCCUUCUUUUCACUCAAUACACAGUUUUUUGGGCUCCCUAGAGAGACUAAAAAGAUAAGAAGAAAUACUAAAUUUCAGAAUCAAUUAAUUUCCUUCUGAAAAUUCCGAGAAACUGCUGAAAAUUGUUUGGACUAUUUUUGAUUUCUUGGUUUUGGUUCUCUGAAUCUUCUGUUAAUCUAGAAUUUCUGGAAAAAAAACUUCCAGAUUGUGCAUCUGGUUAGAGAUGUGGCUUAAGCUUUGGUUUGGAGUUGGUUUUGGAUUGCCUCUACGAUUCAAUUGAUUUUUCCUGAGCUGAUUUCACUGUUUUAUUGACUGAAUCUGGGCUGAUUUCUGCUACUGCUUGCUGUUGAUCCUUCACUUCUUUUGGUUUUUCCCUUGUUCAUUACCAGGUAUUUCCUUCAAACCAGGGAUAGAAAUGAAGUUUGUUAUGGCUGUUAUGUUGAAGUCGUGUAAUUCAAGUUGAAGAAACUGAUUGUUGCUCAUUCUCUGUUGCAUUACCAGCUUAAAAAUCUAUUAUAUUUUGUUUUCAUGUUCCUCCUAGAUUCAUAUGAGUUAUUUAAUUUCUUGUCAUUGCCUUUUAGGUUCUGUUACAGUGUUGUAUAAAUUUUCCUUUUCACUUGCUUAGUUUAAAUGCUAGAAGGUUUAUAAUCACAUGUAUAAGUGGUAGAGAACUAAUGCAAGGAGAUUUCAGUAGCAUCAAAUAUGUUUCAGGUCUGAUCUGGCCUGUUGAAGCCAGUGUUGUUCUGCAAAUGUGCCUAAAUUUGUUUUGAGAUUGAUGUCCCUAAAGUUUGAAAUCAGGAACUUUCAUGUUGAGGUUUGCACUAGGUGAUGAAUUUUAUAUGGUCUGCCUUAUCUUUGAUGAAAUCAGCUGUUUAAUAUAGAUUGAAAUUUGAUAACAGGGGCAUGAAUGUAAGAUGGUUUUUAAAAGCAUUUAAUGUUUCAUGCAUGUCAAGCUGUUUGACAUUGAUGAUUAGGCUCUUUUGGCAUAUCUUUUUAACUUGUAUGUCAGUUUGUUUUCAUUUAGGCUCGAUUCUGGGUCUUCUGCCCUCAACUUGCAUAUUUGUAAAGGUUGGGUCUCUUCUGGGCCUGAACGUCGAAGUUAUUGUGAGACGAAAGGGGGUUUGUUGCCUUGGGCAGUCCCGUGAUUCUCUGCUCAAGGUGGAGAUCUUCAGUAAAUUAUUGGGUCUGCUGCCAGGCCCAUGUUUUUCUUUUUUGAAUAAAUAAUGGAUCAGAUCUUUUCUCUUACUGGACCUUUGAAUAACAAUUUGAGUUCAAACUUUAGUUUAUAAGUAGCAUCAAUUUCAUUGAGCCUUUCCUUAAUUAAUUAGUUGGUCUCCUAAAAAAUAGAUUUGAGUUGAGCCAUUUUGAAUAAUGGAAAUAGUUGAUGGCCCUCAAAAGCUUAAUUUCGAAUUUCCUUUAAGAAUGGGGCAAUCGAGGCGUGCCAUUUAGUUGAAUUUUUCAUGGCCCUCGCAAAUUUAAAUUGCGUAGUUGCUUUAGGCACGCUAUUUUAAAAAUUACCUUCUUAAACUCGGGUGUGCAUUUAUGUAAUCCAAAUCCAAAUCUCGACAACGUUAGAUAAAAUGUGUCGUGGAUCGCGGGUGCAUUUAUGUGACGUGUUUCAAGACAUAUUUUAAAUGACGUUGCAAAAAUGAUUUAAAAUGAUUAAAAAUGGUUAAUAGUUUAAAAUUGCACAAUAGGUUAAAACAUGUAUUAAAAUCAGAUAAUAGGCCAAUUAUAACUGUU
rnacentral:lncRNA from 1 species